CAGGUAGUGCGCAGUGACAUGGGUCGCGGUGACACGCGAACGUCGCGCCUUACACCUGCCGCUUUUUACGUCGUCAGUUGUGAUCCUGCCACCGACCAGUGUACAUCAGUAUAGAGGACGGUCUGCUGCAAAACCACCGCUGGAAGCAUGAGUGUUUUUCAAAACGUAGUGGUGUUGACUCUGUGCGGGCUGAUCGCUGCGUUGAGAACGGGUGAGAGAUGGCGCGCAGCCGAGGGCAUAUACGAUCGACAGUAUGCUCCAGGACAACGCUACGAGCCCUAUCACCUCAGUCCCUCGAGUCAGAUAGCCUUCGCCGCAGUCCCGCUACACGCACCAUUACCUAUUCUGCACGUGCUCGCCCGCGCUCCUCCCGUGCGGCCCCGACGCCCAUUGCCAGUUCCACCCACCUACGAACCAGAUUUGCAGGCCUACGCCUCCGCAUACACUGAAGAUUACACUGCAUUUAACUCGCCGUACGCUCCCAGACCCGCUCCGAGUGAAGAAGAUGAAGAGGCACAAGCGGUUGUAAUAUACGCUCGCCCCAACAAAAACGGGGGCUAUUCCUACAGCAAGCGACCCGCAGCCUCCACCCCAAGGCCUAAACGGGAACCUAUCGUCUUUAGAAUUCACAAAUAUAAAAUAACUAAAGAAUAAUAUUCUUAAAAAAAUAUACAUAUUCAAUAGUUCCUUU